GUGCUCGCUUCGGCAGCACAUAUACUAAAAUUGAAAUGAUAAGAGAAGAUUAGCAUGGCUCCUGCGCAAGGAUGACACAAAAUUCGUGAAGCGUUUCAUUUAUUU